UACGGGGGGGGCAAGCGUUGUUCGGAAUUACUGGGCGUAAAGGGUUCGUAGGUGGCUCGCUAAGUCAGACGUGAAAUCCCUCAGCUUAACUGGGGAACUGCGUCUGAGACUGGCGAGCUCGAGUGCAGGAGAGGAACGCGGUAUUCCAGGUGUAGCGGUGAAAUGCGUAGAUAUCUGGAGGAACACCGGUGGCGAAGGCGGCGUUCUGGACUGCAACUGACACUGAGGGAACGAAAGCCAGGGGAGCAAACGGG
rnacentral:rRNA from 1 species